GGGCGGUUGGCUCAGUUGGUAAGAGGGCUCGGACAGGACCCGAGUCGCGCGGGUUCGAGUCCCGCAUCGUUCA